CCUACGGGGGGCUGCAGUGGGGAAUAUUGGACAAUGGGGGGAACCCUGAUCCAGCCAUGCCGCGUGUGUGAAGAAGGCCCUCGGGUUGUAAAGCACUUUCAGUGAGGAAGAACGCCUGGUGGUUAAUACCCAUCAGGAAAGACAUCACUCACAGAAGAAGCACCGGCUAACUCCGUGCCAGCAGCCGCGGUAAUACGGAGGGUGCGAGCGUUAAUCGGAAUUACUGGGCGUAAAGCGCGCGUAGGUGGCUUGAUAAGCCGGUUGUGAAAGCCCCGGGCUCAACCUGGGAACGGCAUCCGGAACUGUCAAGCUAGAGUGAAGGAGAGGAAGGUAGAAUUCCCGGUGUAGCGGUGAAAUGCGUAGAGAUCGGGAGGAAUACCAGUGGCGAAGGCGGCCUUCUGGACUGACACUGACACUGAGGUGCGAAAGCGUGGGUAGCAAACAGGAUUAGCUACCCGAGUAGUC
rnacentral:rRNA from 1 species